AGAGUUUGAUCCUGGCUCAGGAUGAACGCUGGCGGCGUGCUUAACACAUGCAAGUCGAACGAAGCACUUAAGAUUGACUCUUCGGAUGAUUUCUUUUGUGACUUAGUGGCGGACGGGUGAGUAACGCGUGGGUAACCUGCCUCACACAGGGGGAUAACAGUUAGAAAUGACUGCUAAUACCGCAUAACCCGAUAGGAUCGCAUGAUCCAGACGGAAAAGAUUUAUCGGUGUGAGAUGGACCCGCGUCUGAUUAGCUAGUUGGUGAGGUAACGGCCCACCAAGGCGACGAUCAGUAGCCGGCCUGAGAGGGUGAACGGCCACAUUGGGACUGAGACACGGCCCAAACUCCUACGGGAGGCAGCAGUGGGGAAUAUUGCACAAUGGGGGAAACCCUGAUGCAGCGACGCCGCGUGAGUGAAGAAGUAUUUCGGUAUGUAAAGCCCUAUCAGCAGGGAAGAAAAUGACGGUACCUGACUAAGAAGCCCCGGCUAACUACGUGCCAGCAGCCGCGGUAAUACGUAGGGGGCAAGCGUUAUCCGGAUUUAUUGGGUUUAAAGGGAGCGUAGGCCGGAGAUUAAGCGUGUUGUGAAAUGUAGACGCUCAACGUCUGCACUGCAGCGCGAACUGGUUUCCUUGAGUACGCACAAAGUGGGCGGAAUUCGUGGUGUAGCGGUGAAAUGCUUAGAUAUCACGAAGAACUCCGAUUGCGAAGGCAGCUCACUGGAGCGCAACUGACGCUGAAGCUCGAAAGUGCGGGUAUCGAACAGGAUUAGAUACCCUGGUAGUCCGCACGGUAAACGAUGGAUGCCCGCUGUUGGUCUGAAUAGGUCAGCGGCCAAGCGAAAGCAUUAAGCAUCCCACCUGGGGAGUACGCCGGCAACGGUGAAACUCAAAGGAAUUGACGGGGGCCCGCACAAGCGGAGGAACAUGUGGUUUAAUUCGAUGAUACGCGAGGAACCUUACCCGGGCUUGAAUUGCAGAGGAAGGAUUUGGAGACAAUGACGCCCUUCGGGGCCUCUGUGAAGGUGCUGCAUGGUUGUCGUCAGCUCGUGCCGUGAGGUGUCGGCUUAAGUGCCAUAACGAGCGCAACCCCUCUCCUUAGUUGCCAUCAGGUUAAGCUGGGCACUCUGGGGACACUGCCACCGUAAGGUGUGAGGAAGGUGGGGAUGACGUCAAAUCAGCACGGCCCUUACGUCCUGGGCUACACACGUGUUACAAUGGCAGGUACAGAGAGACGGUUGUACGUAAGUACGAUCAAAUCCUUAAAGCCUGUCUCAGUUCGGACUGGGGUCUGCAACCCGACCCCACGAAGCUGGAUUCGCUAGUAAUCGCGCAUCAGCCAUGGCGCGGUGAAUACGUUCCCGGGCCUUGUACACACCGCCCGUCAAGCCAUGAAAGCCGGGGGCGCCUAAAGUCCGUGACCGUAAGGAGCGGCCUAGGGCGAAACUGGUAAUUGGGGCUAAGUCGUAACAAGGUA
rnacentral:rRNA from 1 species